CCACCGUAGCUAAUACUAACAUUUCUUUGAAUCAAGGAAAGGAGAAAAUGGAGAAUCUCACAAGAAUCCUACUCUUAGUAUGUUUUGCAGUCUUGUCAGAGGGCAGUGACCUGACUGGGAGUGUCUUCACCUUCCCAACACUUGGACGCGUUGAUCAUGUGACUUUGACUCCAGCCG